rnacentral:rRNA from 1 species
AACGAACGCUGGCGGCAGGCUUAACGCAUGCAAGUCGAACGCACCGCAAGGUGAGUGGCAGACGGGUGAGGAACACGUGGGAAUUUCCCCUUCAGUUCGGAAUAACUCAGGGAAACUUGAGCUAAUACCGGAUACGUCCGAGAGGAGAAAGAUUUAUCGCUGAGGGAUGAGCCCGCGUCUGAUUAGCUAGUUGGUGAGGUAAUGGCUCACCAAGGCGACGAUCAGUAGCUGGUCUGAGAGGAUGAUCAGCCGCAUUGGGACUGGGACACGACCCAAACUACUACGGGAGGCAGCAGUGGGAAUAUUGGACAAUGGGCGCAAGCCUGAUCCAGCCAUGCCGCGUGAGUGAUGAAGGCCUUCGGGUUGUAAAGCUCUUUUGUCCGGGAAGAUAAUGACUGUACCGGAAGAAUAAGCCCCGGCAAACUUCGUGCCAGCAGCCGCCGUAAUAC